rnacentral:rRNA from 1 species
UGGGGAAUCUUGGACAAUGGGCGCAAGCCUGAUCCAGCCAUGCCGCGUGAGUGAAGAAGGCCUUCGGGUUGUAAAGCUCUUUUACCAGGGACGAUAAUGACGGUACUAUUUGUAAGGUCCGGCUAACUACGUGCCAGCAGCCGCGGUAAUACGUAGGGACCAAGCGUUGUUCGGAUUUACUGGGCGUAAAGGGCGCGUAGGCGGCGUGGUAAGUCACUUGUGAAAUCUCCGAGCUUAACUCGGAACGGCCAAGUGAUACUGCUGUGCUAGAGUACAGAAGGGGCAAUCGGAAUUCUUGGUGUAGCGGUGAAAUGCGUAGAUAUCAAGAGGAACACCUGAGGUGAAGACGGGUUGCUGGGCUGAUACUGACGCUGAGGCGCGAAAGCUAGGGUAGCAAACGGGAUUAGAUACCCCAGUAGUCCCUGAGCGGGCUGGCAAGGCGCAU